UCCCCAAUUUUCCCUAAAACCCAUUUCCUUCUAUAUGCAGACACAAAAUUCGUCUAUGUUAUCUUCCGAAACCCUAUUCCGCCGUCACAACUCUAUUCGCUGUCACGACCUCCUCCGCCUUCCUCCGUUCGCCUUCCCCUCUUCGCCCCAACCUCAUCCACCUUCUUAGCCGUCACCACCGCCUUCUUCUACAGGUUCUUAUUAGGGUAUGUCUCAUUCUUCAUUCAAUUCAAACACAGCGUUGUAUUGUGUUGUGUUGUCACAAACGAGAAAAACCAACGUCAAGCGAGACCGAGAGUUGCUUCUUCCUCCUCUUCAUCAUUCUUCUUAUGCCAUGGAUAAUGAUAAUCGAGACACGAUUAUUCUAAUCCAAACAUCUCAAAACAGAGCAACAAGAACUUUUAAGGAUUAUAAUACAAUAUCUCUAGCUAUGGAUGGUUGAUGGCUACCUUCACAAUGAGGAGGAAAAGCUUCCUACCCCUUGUAUUGAUCUAAGUUAUCUUUCCUUGAGCAUAAACUUUGAUAAUUUGGAGGAAAUUUUGGCGGCUCUUUGCUUACUCGGAAGUUCACCUAAUCUUCAAAAAUUAGAAAUACAAGCACAGUUUGAGGCCGAAGCUCUACCUUUGGCAUUUGAAACCUAUUGCUGGGAAGACACCUUUUCAAGGCCAGCCACUCCCUUCCAAGUGCGACAUGUGACAUUAAAUAACAUCUCUGGUUACAAAUAUGAAUUAGAUUUUAUCCGAUUUCUACUUCUCUAUUCGCCCGUGCUAGAAAAGAUGAGUGUGAAACCUCUACCAACAUUAAGGCUGGAGUUGAUGACAGAACUAAUUUGGUUCAAGAGAGCAUCGGGAGAAGCUGAAGUUAUUUACGUUAUCGAAGACUUUUCAUAAUGAUUUUUAAUUUCAUAUCACCUUUGAGUGUAAUGCGUAGUGUAUAUGCUUCAAAAUCUUGGAAUGGAUGCUGCUAAAGUUCUUGAGUUGUGCUCUUCAUUAUACAAGACUUAUGGGACAACAAUGGCCGGUCUUAUGGCAAUUGGCUAUGACUUUAACUAUGAUUACUUUCAUAGGUAAUUUUUCAUUCAAUUUGUCUACCCUUUAUUAUACAUAUUGGUAUUUGUCUUAUUCAUUUAAAACCAAGAGAUUGUCAUAUGACAUACUAUUUUGUGUUCAAAAGUUCUGUUUAUGGGAGGUUUCCGUAAAAUCUAUUGAAACCGGACCUCGUUCUCAAGGGGAUUUUGCAAAGCUCGCCUUUUAGGAAAGUGAGUUUUACCAAUGUUGACGUGGGAAAUUAGAUAAGAGUGCUUAAUAGACUUGGGUUAGAGGAUUGUUUUUAAAGAACUAUAAGCUUUGAUACUCUCAAUCCUUUUGAUGGCAUCAGCCCUCCGAAUUACAAAAAUGGCGAUGAAUUUUUUUAUUUCUGUGAGUACACACGCCGGCCUGAUUCUGAUAUGGUGCUUCCAAAGACACCGAUUAUCUGCAAAUCGUUUGAAGAUGCAUAUCCUGAUUCUGAUACGGUGCUUCCAAAGACACCGAUUAUCUGCAAAUCGUUUGAAGAUGCAUAUGAAAAGAAGAUGCAUAUGAAAAGGCUUUCGAUUUGGUUAACAUUGACCCUCAAGAACACUUAGAGAAAUGUUGGUAUUUCAAGCGUGAGAAAGGACUUAUAAAUGGUUGAAUAUUUUUGUAUGUUUUCAUUUAUUUUGUUGUUGUAGUCCACCAUGUGAAAUUCCUUAUAAUUUUGUAUACUUGUGUAUCCUAGAUUAAUACUUUUGUU